UGAGAAGAUGACCAACUGUCGCCCCAAUCGGAAUCGCCAAAUGAACGAUCUAUAGACAUAGCCAAACACUGAAAAUUCUGAUC
rnacentral:snoRNA from 1 species